AUACGGAGGGUGCAAGCGUUACUCGGAAUCACUGGGCGUAAAGCGCGCGCAGGCGGUCUUUUAAGUUGGAUGUGAAAGCCUACGGCUCAACCGUAGAACUGCAUCCAAAACUAUUAGACUAGAGUGUGGGAGAGGAAGAUGGAAUUAGUUGUGUAGGGGUAAAAUCCGUAGAGAUAACUAGGAAUACCAAAAGCGAAGGCAAUCUUCUGGAACACUACUGACGCUAAGGCGUGAAAGCGUGGGGAGCAAACAGGAUUAGAUACCCUAGUAGUCC
rnacentral:rRNA from 1 species